GAUGAACGCUGGCGGCGUGCCUAAUACAUGCAAGUCGAGCGAACAGACGAGGAGCUUGCUCCUCUGACGUUAGCGGCGGACGGGUGGGUAACACGUGGAUAACCUACCUAUAAGACUGGGAUAACUUCGGGAAACCGGAGCUAAUACCGGAUAAUAUAUUGAACCGCAUGGUUCAAUAGUGAAAGACGGUUUUGCUGUCACUUAUAGAUGGAUCCGCGCCGCAUUAGCUAGUUGGUAAGGUAACGGCUUACCAAGGCAACAAUGCGUAGCCGACCUGAGAGGGUGAUCGGCCACACUGGAACUGAGACACGGUCCAGACUCCUACGGGAGGCAGCAGUAGGGAAUCUUCCGCAAUGGGCGAAAGCCUGACGGAGCAACGCCGCGUGAGUGAUGAAGGUCUUCGGAUCGUAAAACUCUGUUAUUAGGGAAGAACAAAUGUGUAAGUAACUAUGCACGUCUUGACGGUACCUAAUCAGAAAGCCACGGCUAACUACGUG
rnacentral:rRNA from 1 species